rnacentral:rRNA from 1 species
UGGCGGACGGGUGAGUAACGCGUAAAGAACUUGCCCUUUAGACUGGGAUAACAGAGGGAAACUUCUGAUAAUACUGGAUAAGUUAGUAUAUCGCAUGAUAUGCAAAUGAAAGCUACGGCACUAAGGGAGAGCUUUGCGUCCUAUUAGCUAGUUGGUAAGGUAAGAGCUUACCAAGGCGAUGAUAGGUAGCCGGCCUGAGAGGGUGGACGGCCACAAGGGGACUGAGAUACGGCCCUUACUCCUACGGGAGGCAGCAGUG